AAUGUCGUAACAAGGUUUCCGUAGGUGAACCUGCGGAAGGAUCAUUAGAAUGAAGCCGGGACCAUUCGUGGGCGAAAAUGCUCGCCGUGCCAAGUAAGCGCCCGUAAACCCUUCCACCCUUGUGUAUUUAUUCUUCUGUUUGCUUUGGCAGGCCGCGACCCUCUGGGGGCAGCGCUGGCUUCGGCUGGAGAGUGCCUGCCAGAGGACCAAACUCUGUAAUUUAAUGCCGUCUGAGUACUACGAAAAUUAGUUAAAAU
rnacentral:misc_RNA from 1 species